GACUCAUCCCAGUGUGCCAGCAUCCCAUACAACGGGCAAGGCUAUCCAGGUUCCGGCUAACAAAUUUUCUAAGUCGCCAGUGCUGCUUACAGUUUGAAUACAUGAAAAUCCUGUUUCUGAGAUGUUUGCGCACGUGCUUAUUAGAAAAUGAGUCUGUAUGGAAAUUUCACCACAGAUAUGGUUAACGAACGGGGUUGACAUCAUAAAGGAGGGUGGAGACUCUUUAUACUAACUUGAAUGAGAGAAAAGCAGUCAGUGGUGUCAGUUUAUUAGCCUGAUGCAUUUCGGUAGUAAUUUAGAAAAAAAUUCUUUUUUAAAAGUUCAAACCCACAGCCAUGGGGUGCCUCAGCUGUGAAAGAGGUGCAUAAUAAAACUACUAACCAGCAGAGAUGAUGCCAUUUUUAGAAAAACAAUUAACCUGGUUAAAAAGAAAUGUGUUAUGUAAAUAAUAAACUAAUUGUGGCAUGUAAA